rnacentral:rRNA from 1 species
GGUGAAACCGCGAAAAGCUCAUUAAAUCGGCUUUGGUUCCUUAGAUAGUUUGCAGAUUGGAGUUUUUUUCGAACUAUCGAAAGAAACAAAAUUCUGAAAUGGAUAACUGUGGUAAUUCUAGAGCUAAUACAUGAAAAAAUUUCGGUGCGAAAACGCGUUUGCUUCGAGCGAACGUUGAAUUUGCACGCUUUUAUUAGAGAAAAAAGCCAAUUUUAUUAUUGUUCGCGUGUGCACUCUGCGAAACAGUUGCGUCUGUGAUCUGUUUGUGCUCGAGUAGCUACGUGAAAUCAAUACUAAUGAAAAAAUCUGGUGUUGAAUCUGAAUAACUUGAAUGGAUUCUCUUUGAAAGAGUUUUAUUUCGUUUCGAAAUGGAAUUUGAUUAGAAGAGGGUUUAAAGCAGACCGCAUUAAAGGCUGCAAGCAAAGUAAUGAGAUG